rnacentral:pre_miRNA from 1 species
GGACGCGCAGCGGAGCAGAUCCCCGUCAUACCCCGCUUGGUGCAGCGCGUCAAUAUCCCUCUUGGCGAGCUUCGCAAAUAGAGUCGGCCCCAGUUUCCGCUGCAGCUGGGCUUCGUGCUUCCAGCUUCCUGCACGGCUCGCCGUCCGAGCGCCUUGCUUGCCGCCCGAUACGCAGUUCGGAUUCGUAUACGCAUAUCGAACUCAAUCCGAGUCGCGUAUCAUCGGGUGGCAAGGAAGGCGCUGGAAGCCUCUGACAGCGAGCCAUGCAGGAAGCUGAAAGCCUGAAAGCCCACCUGCAGCGGCGACUGGGGCCGACCCUGUUUGCAAAGCUCGCCGAGAGGGACAUUGAUGCGCUGCACCAAGCGGGGUAUGACGGGGAUACGCUCCGCUUCGCGUCC